AUUGCACAAUGGGCGAAAGCCUGAUGCAGCGACGCCGCGUGAGUGAAGAAGUAUCUCGGUAUGUAACGCUCUAUCAGCAGGGAAGAAAAUGACGGUACCUGAUUAAUAAGCCCCGGCUAACUACGUGCCAGCAGCCGCGGUAAUACGUAGGGGGCAAGCGUUAUCCGGAUUUACUGGGUGUAAAGGGAGCGUAGACGGUAAUGCAAGUCAGAAGUGAAAGCCCGGGGCUCAACUCCGGGACUGCUUUUGAAACUGUGUGACUGGAGUGCAGGAGAGGUAAGCGGAAUUCCUGGUGUAGCGGUGAAAUGCGUAGAUAUUAGGAGGAACACCAGUGGCGAAGGCGGCUUGCUGGACGAUGACUGACGUUGAGGCUCGAAAGCGUGGGGAGCAAACAG
rnacentral:rRNA from 1 species